rnacentral:rRNA from 1 species
UACGUAGGGGGCAAGCGUUGUCCGGAAUCAUUGGGCGUAAAGAGCGUGUAGGCGGCCCGAUAAGUCCGCUGUGAAAGUCCAGGGCUCAACCCUGGGAUGCCGGUGGAUACUGUCGGGCUCGAGUCCGGAAGAGGAGUGUGGAAUUCCUGGUGGUAGCGGUGAAAUGCGCAGAUAUCGUAAGGAAGACCAGUGGCGAAGGCGGGU